UACGUAGGCAGCGAGCGUUGUUCGGAAUUACUGGGCGUAAAGAGUGUGUAGGCGGUGCUCUAAGUUCGGUGUGAAAUCUCCUGGCUUACCUGGGAGGGUGGUCGCCAGACGGGAGCGCUUGAGGGUCGGAGAGGGGCGUGGAAUUCCGGGUGGAGCGGUGAAAUGCGUAGAGAUCCGGAGGAACACCGACGGCGUAGGCAGCGCCCUGGACGACACCUGACGCUGAGGCACGAAAGCGUGGGGAGCAAACAGG
rnacentral:rRNA from 1 species